rnacentral:rRNA from 1 species
UACAGGGGGUGCAAACGUUGCUCGGAAUUAUUGGGCGUAAAGCGCGCGUAGGCGGCCACUUAAGUCGGAUGUGAAAGCCCCUGGCUCAACUGGGGAAGUGCACCCGAAACUGAAUGGCUUGAGUGCGAAAGAGGGUCGCGGAAUUCCCGGUGUAGAGGUGAAAUUCGUAGAUAUCGGGAGGAACACCGGUGGCGAAGGCGGCGACCUGGGUCGACACUGACGCUGAGGCGCGAAAGCGUGGGGAGCGAACAGG